CAGGCCCAAGCUGUGUUUGUGUUGAAAGUGUACCUGGCUGAACAACUGCAUUAAACAGCUCACUUGCAGCAGGAUGAGGCGCUGUGACUAGAUGCCAGCCCAGGUCAAGAGGGCUGCUUGAAAGCGUCAACCCAGUGGGGACAGUGCCCUUUUGUUCUGCCUUUCUGCUGCCUGGAAUGCUGAGUGGAUGGCUGGAAUUUCAGCAGCCACCUUGGGACACGAGGUUGCCUUGAGGCUGGUACCAAGUACUGGAAGUGUAGGACACAUAGAAGGAAAUCGCGGGAUGCCUGCUGACCACAGAACUAUUUUACUUUUUCUGGACGGCUUUCAUACAUACUUUUUAAUACCAACGGGCUUCACAGGCGUUAGCUGAGAGGAUCAGCGGCCGUCUUUAUGCAGAUAAAGUCCCUGCACUGUAAAGUGUGCUCACGUGAGAAACAACGUUUACGGCUGCUCUUCCGCUCGGAGUGCUCUCCCACCUCCUCACUGAGGCGACUCUGCCGUGACUGCCCUCUGGUGACGUUUCACACGGGUCACAAGAGUCCUCAGGGGCGGUGUCCAUUCCACGAGAUCCAUCCACACAGCCCUUCCCCAGACCUCCUUGACACCAACACCACCAAUGGCAUCUGGUGACACCAUCUGAAGUGGGUGCAGUCUCGUGGGACUGAGCCCUUAGCUUGUGAACUCUGCUGCUAACUCCAGGUAGGUAGUGUCAGAAUUGGUUGGAAUGGUUGAAUGCCUAGGCCGUGUUGGAGAAUUUGUUGGUGUGAGAAAAAAUAAAAACCCUUCAUAUUUGGUGACUGGAGGACAAAACAACCUCUCAGACUGACCGACCAUCUGGCCAGCUCAUCAGCUUCUGCCCAUGAAUCAGUGGAGAUCCAUGCUGCUGGCCAUCUCUCCUUCUGGCAAAGUGGACAACCAGAUGUUCUCCUCCACGUUCUGCCUAGUGGGGGGAUUUUCCUUUCCCACCAUCCUCCAGUGCCUCUCCAAGUACGGCUGUGAUCAUCCGUAUACCAGGCUCGGGAUUUCCUGUUUCAGUCAUCUGGCGGGGACAUUUGGACCCAGAGACAGAUAUAAAGGGAAAAUGUCAUGUGAAGAUGAAGGCAGAGGUUGGGGUAAUGCGUAAGAAAUGUCAAAGACUGCCAGCAAACCCCCGGAAGCCAGGAGAAAGCAUGGGACAGCUUCUCCCUCGCAUCCCUCAGAAGGAACCAACCCUGGCCUCCAGAACUGUGAGAUGAUAAAUGUCUGUUAUUUUAAUUACUCCAUCUGUGGCGGUUGUUAUGGCAACCCCAGGAAACAAAUGCAGCAUCCAUCACUCCUCCAACACUCAGGAAGUCCUUCCCUCAGGCCUGCCUGUCACCCUGAAGUCUCCUCCUGAGUCUCUUCAGCCCAUGUCUGAAUUUUUCUGUUCAGUGAACAAGUCAAGUUCACAUCAAGGUGGAGGCUGAGUGUGGGCUCGAAGCUGCCGGGGUCUUGCCUGUGCCCCCCAGACUGGGGCACGUUCCUGCUGGCCAGGUCUGGACCUUACUUUGACCCUUUCCUAAUCCCUAGGUUGGUUCAGGUAUGGAUAAGGGUCAGCUAAAGACUGAUGGUCAAAAGCGAAGAGGAUGGGUCCAGGAGACUGAGUCUUCUUUCAUUUGUCUUAUUUUAAAUGUCGGAGUUGCUCCAGCUUCAGGCACGUGUGACUGAAGGUACAGGAUCUCAUUCAGAUUAAGGAGAAUAGUAUGAAUGUUCUUCUUAUUCACAUUUUAAAAAUUCCUCUAGAUCACAAAUUCAUGUAGUCAAUAGGAAAAUGAUACUCAUUUUUGAGAAAAUAGAGAGGCUUUGUUAAUAAGCUAGUUAAAACACAGCUGAGUUGAAGGAUAAAUCCUGUUUUCCCUGAACUAGUAGGUCGACGAAGAAAUGAAGAAAUUGAAGUCUUUGAUCCUGAAAUGCCCUGUAGCAUCACUCUCAAACUUAGUUCAAAAGGUUUGUUGGGCGAGGUGGGAGUAGAGGUGUUGCUUCCCACCACCCCCAAAUAGGUUAUUGUUAUUUAUAUUUUUAUGAUUU
rnacentral:lncRNA from 13 species